rnacentral:rRNA from 1 species
GAGCGGUAGCACAGAGAGCUUGCUCUCCGGUGACGAGCGGCGGACGGGUGAGUAAUGUCUGGGAAACUGCCUGAUGGAGGGGGAUAACUACUGGAAACGGUAGCUAAUACCGCAUAACGUCGCAAGACCAAAGAGGGGGACCUUCGGGCCUCUUGCCAUCAGAUGUGCCCAGAUGGGAUUAUCUAGUAGGUGGGGUAAUGGCUCACCUAGGCGACGAUCCCUAGCUGGUCUGAGAGGAUGACCAGCCACACUGGAACUGAGACACGGUCCAGACUCCUACGGGAGGCAGCAGUGGGGAAUAUUGCACAAUGGGCGCAAGCCUGAUGCAGCCAUGCCGCGUGUAUGAAGAAGGCCUUCGGGUUGUAAAGUACUUUCAGCGAGGAGGAAGGCAUUGUGGUUAAUAACCACAGUGAUUGACGUUACUCGCAGAAGAAGCACCGGCUAACUCCGUG